rnacentral:misc_RNA from 1 species
GAUGCAGCUGCUGAUGAAGAUGAUGAUUUGGCAGACACUGCCUCAUCUGAUCGACCUGAGCCAAAACAAAGUUCUGAUCAUCCUGCACCCUCUAGUUUGUCUGAGGACUUGCAUCGUGCUACAAGUAAUGAAACCAUUAAGCCUCCUGAAUGGGUUGAAUGGCGAGAAAACUCUAAUACAAUUGCAACAUCCAAUCAAACCUCGGAUUCAGCUGGUGUUGCUGAUGUGGUCGGGCCUCCUUUACCUAAUGGCGACGUCAAAAAGGAAUCAGAAGCUCCAAAGGAUACUACUCGGUCAAAAGAAGAAAAUGCUCAUAUUCCACCCACUAAUGUGUGCACCAGUAAUGUGAAAGAAGGAUCAUCAGGUGAUACCUCACAGCCUCCAGAAUCAGGUGGCAGCCAAAGCGCUAGCAAUGCUAGUUCAAGUAGUGUGGAGAAGCCCCCUGCUGGAACGGUGGGAUCAUCUAGUGGAGAAACCAAAAAGUGAAGUGUGGAACCACUGUGAAUUCUCGAGGUGCAGUUGCGGGAGAAAAAACCUGGCACUUUUGCUAUUGGUCUGGUGCACUGAUGAGAGUCUCAGCGCUUGCUAUCGGCUGGGACUAAUAUGUGGUUUUGGAGCCUGAUGUAUAUUACUGGGCUUAAAAGUCGAUUUAGCCACAGAUGAUUCUUUCCUCAACUCAUAGGUAAAGAAUGCUCUCUCUUUCCUCUCACUUAUUAAAGGCCUUUAGUGCAGGUGAUUCAGUAGAUCAUACUUUUAUUACUAACACACAACUGCCUCUAGAUGUGUCCAAACUGCCAAAGGGAGUUGUGUUGCUGUACACAUUGAAAGGAUCUUCGUUUUAUAUCAUCUCAUAUUUUGUCAUUUU